rnacentral:rRNA from 1 species
GACGAACCGUGCGAACGUUGUUCGGAAUCACUGGGCUUAAAGGGCGCGUAGGCGGCUUGCCAAGUCAGGGGUGAAAUCCUGCAGCUUAACUGUAGAAGGGCCUUUGAUACUGGCGAGCUCGAGGGAGGUAGGGGUAUGUGGAACUUCCGGUGGAGCGGUGAAAUGCGUUGAUAUCGGAAGGAACGCCGGUGGCGAAAGCGACGUACUGGACCUCUUCUGACGCCGAGGCGCGAAAGCUAGGGGAGCAAACGGG